GAUGAACGCUGGCGGCGUGCCUAAUACAUGCAAGUCGAGCGAACGGACGAGAAGCUUGCUUCUCUGAUGUUAGCGGCGGACGGGUGAGUAACACGUGGAUAACCUACCUAUAAGACUGGGAUAACUUCGGGAAACCGGAGCUAAUACCGGAUAAUAUUUUGAACCGCAUGGUUCAAAAGUGAAAGACGGUCUUGCUGUCACUUAUAGAUGGAUCCGCGCUGCAUUAGCUAGUUGGUAAGGUAACGGCUUACCAAGGCAACGAUGCAUAGCCGACCUGAGAGGGUGAUCGGCCACACUGGAACUGAGACACGGUCCAGACUCCUACGGGAGGCAGCAGUAGGGAAUCUUCCGCAAUGGGCGAAAGCCUGACGGAGCAACGCCGCGUGAGUGAUGAAGGUCUUCGGAUCGUAAAACUCUGUUAUUAGGGAAGAACAUAUGUGUAAGUAACUGUGCACAUCUUGACGGUACCUAAUCAGAAAGCCACGGCUAACUACGUGCCAGCAGCCGCGGUAAUACGUAGGUGGCAAGCGUUAUCCGGAAUUAUUGGGCGUAAAGCGCGCGUAGGCGGUUUUUUAGUCUGAUGUGAAAGCCCACGGCUCAACCGUGGAGGGUCAUUGGAAACUGGAAAACUUGAGUGCAGAAGAGGAAAGUGGAAUUCCAUGUGUAGCGGUGAAAUGCGCAGAGAUAUGGAGGAACACCAGUGGCGAAGGCGACUUUCUGGUCUGUAACUGACGCUGAUGUGCGAAAGCGUGGGGAUCAAACAGGAUUAGAUACCCUGGUAGUCCACGCCGUAAACGAUGAGUGCUAAGUGUUAGGGGGUUUCCGCCCCUUAGUGCUGCAGCUAACGCAUUAAGCACUCCGCCUGGGGAGUACGACCGCAAGGUUGAAACUCAAAGGAAUUGACGGGGACCCGCACAAGCGGUGGAGCAUGUGGUUUAAUUCGAAGCAACGCGAAGAACCUUACCAAAUCUUGACAUCCUUUGACAACUCUAGAGAUAGAGCCUUCCCCUUCGGGGGACAAAGUGACAGGUGGUGCAUGGUUGUCGUCAGCUCGUGUCGUGAGAUGUUGGGUUAAGUCCCGCAACGAGCGCAACCCUUAAGCUUAGUUGCCAUCAUUAAGUUGGGCACUCUAAGUUGACUGCCGGUGACAAACCGGAGGAAGGUGGGGAUGACGUCAAAUCAUCAUGCCCCUUAUGAUUUGGGCUACACACGUGCUACAAUGGACAAUACAAAGGGCAGCGAAACCGCGAGGUCAAGCAAAUCCCAUAAAGUUGUUCUCAGUUCGGAUUGUAGUCUGCAACUCGACUACAUGAAGCUGGAAUCGCUAGUAAUCGUAGAUCAGCCAUGCUACGGUGAAUACGUUCCCGGGUCU
rnacentral:rRNA from 1 species